UGGACCCUCAGCCUCUAUUUAGUCAGUCUCCAAGGACUGACUAGAUUCACAUCAAGACUUUGGAAAUUCCUCUACUCCUUCAAGAGAUGGGCUUGGGAAGUGGACUAAGCAAAGGCUGCAGAAGGCUUACAGACAUGAUCACAUCCUUGUCCAUGUACCUGAAGGCAGACAGGAACAUAAGUUGGCUCCUCUCUAGAUCUCCACCAUCUGCUUGUGAUCCUCCAUGGCUGUCAGUGCCCCUUAAGCCUCUUGUUAUAAAUCACCAUGAUCUCACUUUCCAGGAAACUCCACUGUUUUCACACACAAUUAUUCACAGAUAGCAGAGAGAGGAGGCUCAGGAGGAAGACCCAUGGGAUAAGAGACAUUGUAGGACACUGAGGAAACAUAACUUGAGCUCUUGAACUCAUUGAUGAGGACCAAAAAAAAAAAAAAAUGAAUGAACACCAGCAGAUGCUUUGGAAUACUGUUGAACAAUGGGUACCUGUCCAAUACUGCCAAAUAAUUGGUUUCGGAGAUCCUAUGAUAAACAGCAGUCAUCAUUAGAACUGACUGAAUGUUCUCUGGAAGGAGGAAUGGGAGGCUGGCCAAUCUAACAGGUUUU
rnacentral:lncRNA from 1 species